rnacentral:rRNA from 1 species
AUUGAACGCUGGCGGCAGGCCUAACACAUGCAAGUCGAGCGAGCGGCGGACGGGUGAGUAAUGUAUGGGGACUGCCCGAUAGAGGGGGAUAACUACUGGAAACGGUAGCUAAUACCGCAUACUAUCGGAUAACCCAUAUGGGAUUAGCUAGUAGGUGAGGUAAUGGCUCACCUAGGCGACGAUCCCUAGCUGGUCUGAGAGGAUGAUCAGCAACACGUGGACGAAGACACGGCCCAAACUCCUCGGGAGGCAGCAGUGGGGAAUAUUGCACAAUGGGCGCAAGCCUGAUUCAGCCAUGCCGCUUGUAUGAAGAAGGCCCUUGGGUUGUAAAGUACUAUCAGGCGGGAGGCGUUGCCGACAGAAGAAGCACCGGCUAACUCCGUGCAAGCAGCCGCGGAAAUA